rnacentral:rRNA from 1 species
AACGAACGCUGGCGGCAUGCCUAACACAUGCAAGUCGAACGAGAUCUUCGGAUCUAGUGGCGCACGGGUGCGUAACGCGUGGGAAUCUGCCUUGGGGUUCGGAAUAACUCCCCGAAAGGGGUGCUAAUACCGGAUGAUGUCGAAAGACCAAAGAUUUAUCGCCCUGAGAUGAGCCCGCGUAGGAUUAGCUAGUUGGUGGGGUAAAGGCCUACCAAGGCGACGAUCCUUAGCUGGUCUGAGAGGAUGAUCAGCCACACUGGGACUGAGACACGGCCCAGACUCCUACGGGAGGCAGCAGUGGGGAAUAUUGGACAAUGGGCGAAAGCCUGAUCCAGCAAUGCCGCGUGAGUGAUGAAGGCCUUAGGGUUGUAAAGCUCUUUUACCCGGGAUGAUAAUGACAGUACCGGGAGAAUAAGCUCCGGCUAACUCCGUGCCAGCCGCCGCGGUAACAC